rnacentral:rRNA from 1 species
UACCGCCUACGGGGGGCAGCAGUGGGGAAUAUCGGGCAAUGGGCGCAAGCCUGACCCAGCAACGCCGCGUGAAGGAAGAAGGCUUUCGGGUUGUAAACUUCUUUUCUGGGGGACGAACAAAUGACGGUACCCCAGGAAUAAGCCACGGCUAACUACGUGCCAGCAGCCGCGGUAAUACGUAGGUGGCAAGCGUUAUCCGGAUUUAUUGGGUGUAGAGGGCGUGUAGGCGGGAAUGCAAGUCAGAUGUGAAAACUAUGGGCUCAACCCAUAGCCUGCAUUUGAAACUGUAUUUCUUGAGUGUUGGG